AAUCAACGCUGGCGGCGCGCUUAACACAUGCAAGUCGCACGAGAAAGGGAGCAAUCCUGAGUAAAGUGGCGUACGGGUGAGUAACACGUGGGAAUCUACCUCUUGGCGGGGAAUAACCCUGGGAAACCGGGGCUAAUACCGCAUAAGCUCGUGAGAGGAAAGCAGCAAUGCACCGAGAGAGGAGCCCGCGGCCGAUUAGCUAGGUGGUGGGGUAAUGGCUCACCAAGGCGAAGAUCGGUAGCCGGCCGGAGAGGGCACACGGCCACACUGGCACUGAAACACGGGCCAGACCCCGACGGGAGGGAGGAGUGGGGAAUCCUGCACAAGGGGGGAAACCCUGAUGCAGCGACGCCGCGUGAGCGAUGAAGCCCUUCGGGGUGUAAAGCUCUUUCGACAGGAACGAUAAUGACGGUACCUGGAGAAGAAGCUGCGGCUAACUACGUG
rnacentral:rRNA from 1 species